rfam:Lactobacillus mixtipabuli DNA, scaffold: sequence43, strain: IWT30.
CUGAAUUGAAGUGCUUGCACUGAUUUUCAGCAUUGGAUGAGUGGCGAACUGGUGAGUAACACGUGGGUAACCUGCCCAGAAGCAGGGGAUAACACUUGGAAACAGGUGCUAAUACCGUAUAACAACUGAAACCGCAUGGCUUCAGUUUGAAAGAUGGUUUCGGCUAUCACUUCUGGAUGGACCCGCGGCGUAUUAGCUAGUUGGUGGAGUAAUGGUUCACCAAGGCAAUGAUACGUAGCCGACCUGAGAGGGUAAUCG